rnacentral:rRNA from 1 species
UACAGAGGGUGCGAGCGUUGUUCGGAAUUACUGGGCGUAAAGCGCGCGCAGGCGGCUCUUUAAGUCUCGUGGUCAAAUGCCGGGGCUCAACCCCGAGCGUGCCGGGGAUACUGGAGGGCUGGAGACAGGUAGAGGCAAGCGGAAUUCCGGGUGUAGCGGUGGAAUGCGUAGAGAUCCGGAAGAACACCGGAGGCGAAGGCGGCUUGCUGGACCUGGUCUGACGCUGAGGCGCGAAAGCUAGGGGAGCAAACGGG